rnacentral:rRNA from 1 species
GACGAACGCUGGCGGCGUGCUUAACACAUGCAAGUCGAACGGAAAGGCCCUGCUCUUGUGGGGUGCUCGAGUGGCGAACGGGUGAGUAACACGUGAGUAACCUGCCCUUGACUUUGGGAUAACUUCAGGAAACUGGGGCUAAUACCGGAUAGGAGCUCCUGCUGCAUGGUGGGGGUUGGAAAGUUUCGGCGGUUGGGGAUGGACUCGCGGCUUAUCGGCUUGUUUGUCGGGUAGUGGUUUACCAAGGGUUUGACGGGUAGCCGGCCUUGGAGGGUGGCCGGCGACAAUGGGCCUACGGUAGGGCCCAGACGCGUACGUGAGGCAGCGGUGGGGAAUAUGGCGCAGUGGGCGGAAGCCUGCGGCAACGACGACGCGUGCGGGAAGACGGCUUUCGGGUUGUGAACCGCUUUGGCCUGUGACGAAGAGUGAUUGACGGUAAUGAAUAAAGAAGCACCGGCUAACUACGUG